rnacentral:tRNA from 1 species
GCCGAAGUGGUGAAACUUGGCAAACACGUAGCACUCAAAAUGCUAUGGGCGAAAGCCCUUGUGGGUUCAAAUCCCACCUUCGGCA